rnacentral:rRNA from 1 species
AGCAGCCGCGGUAAUUCCAGCUCCAAUAGCGUAUAUUAAAGUUGUUGCAGUUAAAAAGCUCGUAGUUGAAUUUCGGGAUUAAUUUAUUGGUCGUGCAAUAGUACGUACUGGUAUUAUUGAUUCCUACCUUCUGACGAACCAUGAUGUCAUUAAUUUGGUGUCAUGGGGAAUCAGGACUGUUACUUUGAAAAAUUAGAGUGUUUAAAGCAGGCUCACGCUUGAAUACAUUAGCAUGGAAUAACGAAAUAGGACGUUUGAUUCUAUUUUGUUGGUUUCUAGGAUCGACGUAAUGAUUAAUAGGGAUAGUUGGGGGCAUUAGUAUUCAAUUGUCAGAGGUGAAAUUCUUGGAUUUAUUGAAGACUAACUACUGCGAAAGCAUUUGCCAAGGAUGUUUUCAUUAAUCAAGAACGAAAGUUAGGGGAUCGAAGACGAUCAGAUACCGUCGUAGUCUUAACCAUAAACUAUGCCGACUAGGGAUCGGAUGAUGUUAAUUUUUUAAUGACUCA